GUCUACAGCCAGUAGCUCAGUAGUGUUGGGCCUGGCCAGUACUUAAAUGUGAGACCAGCUGGGAAUACCAGGUUUUGUAGGCU
ensembl:rRNA 5S_rRNA 5S ribosomal RNA